rnacentral:rRNA from 1 species
AACAAACGCUGGCGGCAGGCCUAACACAUGCAAGUCGAACGAAGUCUUCGGACUUAGUGGCGGACGGGUGAGUAACACGUGGGAACGUACCUUUUGGUUCGGAACAACUCAGGGAAACUUGAGCUAAUACCGGAUGAGCCCUUAGGGGGAAAGAUUUAUCGCCGAAAGAGCGGCCCGCGUUAGAUUAGCUAGUUGGUGAGGUAAAGGCUCACCAAGGCUACGAUCUAUAGCUGGUCUGAGAGGAUGAUCAGCCACACUGGGACUGAGACACGGCCCAGACUCCUACGGGAGGCAGCAGUGGGGAAUCUUGCGCAAUGGGCGAAAGCCUGACGCAGCCAUGCCGCGUGAAUGAUGAAGGUCUUAGGAUUGUAAAAUUCUUUUACCAGGGACGAUAAUGACGGUACCUGGAGAAAAAGCCCCGGCUAACUUCGUGCCAGCCGCCGCAGUAACAC